rnacentral:rRNA from 1 species
AUUGAACGCUGGCGGCAGGCCUAACACAUGCAAGUCGAGCGGAUGAAGGGAGCUUGCUCCUGGAUUCAGCGGCGGACGGGUGAGUAAUGCCUAGGAAUCUGCCUGGUAGUGGGGGAUAACGUCCGGAAACGGGCGCUAAUACCGCAUACGUCCUGAGGGAGAAAGUGGGGGAUCUUCGGAACUCACGCUAUCAGGUGAGCCUAGGUCGGAUUAGCUAGUUGGUGGGGUAAAGGCCUACCAAGGCGACGAUCCGUAACUGGUCUGAGAGGAUGAUCAGUCACACUGGAACUGAGACACGGUCCAGACUCCUACGGGAGGCAGCAGUGGGGAAUAUUGGACAAUGGGCGAAAGCCUGAUCCAGCCAUGCCGCGUGUGUGAAGAAGGUCUUCGGAUUGUAAAGCACUUUUAGUUGGGAGGAAGGGCAGUAAGUUAAUACCUUGCUGUUUUGACGUUACCAACAGAAUAAGCACCGGCUAACUUCGUG